rnacentral:tRNA from 5 species
GUACAAGUAGUUCAGAAGCCUAGAACGCCGAUCUUGUAAGUCGGAUGUCGGAGGUUGAAAUCCCCCCUUGUACU